rnacentral:lncRNA from 1 species
UUUUCAUUGCCAUAGCUGAGUAACGAAAGAGGCUUUGAGAAUGUAGAACUGGGAGUCAUGGGGAAAAAGAAGAAAGUCCCAAGGAGGGUCAUCCACUUCGUCAGCGGAGAGACCAUGGAGGAGUACAGCACCGAUGAGGAUGAGGUCGACGGCCUGGACAAGAAAGAUGUGCUGCCCACUGUCGACCCGGUAUGUUUGACGCUGAUGGCUGGGCCUGCUUGGGUUUGCUCCUUGAACACUGAAUGGAAGGAACUGUUUGAAGUUUAAACCAACUACCAUCCAUUAUGAUCUGGAAGAAAACAUUAUUUUUACACAAUGCGUGUGGAAAUAUUCCCAACGUUUCAGCAGCCUGAACCAGUUCUGCUCCUUUGUACUGUGAAUUUAUGUGUGGCUCUAGUAAAUCCAUAUUUCAAUCUGUCCCUUUCAGUUCACAGACUGAGUGUUCUUCGAGGUAGCAAAGUCCAUUUAUCCCGUGUUUACAGUGGGUACCUCAGAGGCUCUGGGUAGGUGCUGGUCAUGGGGCAGUGGCUUGUAUAAACUAUAUGGGGAUAUAGUCCAUGAACAAAUAAAUGUCCUAUAGUUAAGACGGCUCUCAAAAGUGCUAUAAAUAAAACCAGAAACAGAUUAGAGAAUUUAAAAAUUAUUUUUAAUUUAAGAUGUUAAUUUUUAUAAGGUUUAGAUGAGUAAAUUUUUAGCUAUUGAAAAAAGAAAUUCAUGCUUGCCUAGGAAGCGCAAGGCCCUGGGUUCGGUCCCCAACCCUGAAAAAAAGAAAAGAAAAGAAAAAAAAAAGAAAUUCAAAAAAAUAAAAAAGAAAGAAAUUCCAUGUGGAGCUCAGUGACUUACGCCUUUAAUCCCAGCACUCAAGAGGCAGAAAUCGAUGAAUCUCUGUGAGUUGAGGCCAACUUGGUCUACAAGGCAAGUUCCAGGACACCCAGGGCUGUUCCAUAGAGAAACCAAGUCUCAGAACUGUGCCAGCCUCUAAAAAAUAAAAGCUAUUGCACAUUCUGUAGUACAGAAAAU